UCCGGAGGAUGCAAGCGUUAUCCGGAAUGAUUGGGCGUAAAGCGUCCGCAGGUGGCUGUGUAAGUCUGCUGUCAAAGAGCAAAGCUCAACUUUGUAAAGGCAGUGGAAACUACACGGCUAGAGUGCGUUCGGGGCAGAGGGAAUUCCUGGUGUAGCGGUGAAAUGCGUAGAGAUCAGGAAGAACACCGGUGGCGAAGGCGCUCUGCUAGGCCGCAACUGACACUGAGGGACGAAAGCUAGGGGAGCGAAUGGG
rnacentral:rRNA from 1 species